GACGAACGCUGGCGGCGUGCUUAACACAUGCAAGUCGAGCGGAAAGGCCCUGCUUUUGUGGGGUGCUCGAGUGGCGAACGGGUGAGUAACACGUGAGUAACCUGCCCUUGACUUUGGGAUAACUUCAGGAAACUGGGGCUAAUACCGGAUAGGAGCUCCUGCUGCAUGGUGGGGGUUGGAAAGUUUCGGCGGUUGGGGAUGGACUCGCGGCUUAUCAGCUUGUUGGUGGGGUAGUGGCUUACCAAGGCUUUGACGGGUAGCCGGCCUGAGAGGGUGACCGGCCACAUUGGGACUGAGAUACGGCCCAGACUCCUACGGGAGGCAGCAGUGGGGAAUAUUGCACAAUGGGCGGAAGCCUGAUGCAGCAACGCCGCGUGCGGGAUGACGGCCUUCGGGUUGUAAACCGCUUUCGCCUGUGACGAAGCGUGAGUGACGGUAAUGGGUAAAGAAGCACCGGCUAAUUACGUG
rnacentral:rRNA from 1 species